rnacentral:rRNA from 1 species
CCUACGGGAGGCAGCAGUAGGGAAUCUUCCACAAUGGACGAAAGUCUGAUGGAGCAACGCCGCGUGAGUGAAGAAGGGUUUCGGCUCGUAAAGCUCUGUUGGUAGUGAAGAAAGAUAGCGGUAGUAACUGGCCUUUAUUUGACGGUAAUUACUUAUAAAGUCACGGCUAACUACGUGCCAGCAGCCGCGGUAAUACGUAGGUGGCAAGCGUUGUCCGGAUUUAUUGGGCGUAAAGCGAGUGCAGGCGGUUCAAUAAGUCUGAUGUGAAAGCCUUCGGCUCAACCGGAGAAUUGCAUCAGAAACUGUUGAACUGGAGUGCAGAAGAGGAGAGUGGAACUCCAGGUGUAGCGGUGGAAUGCGUAGAUAUAUGGAAGAACACCAGUGGCGAAGGCGACUCUCUGGUCUGCAACUGACGCUGAGGCUCGAAAGCAUGGGUAGCGAACAGGAUUAGAUACCCUUGUAGUC